GACGAACGCUGGCGGCGUGCUUAACACAUGCAAGUCGAACGGUGAAAGGGAGCUUGCUCCCUGGAUCAGUGGCGAACGGGUGAGUAACACGUGGGCAACCUGCCCCAGACUUCGGGAUAACGCUUCGAAAGAGGUGCUAAUACCGGAUACGAACUCCUUGGGCAUCCUUGGAGUUGGAAAGUUUUUCGGUCUGGGAUGGGCCCGCGGCCUAUCAGCUUGUUGGUGAGGUAACGGCUCACCAAGGCGACGACGGGUAGCCGGCCUGAGAGGGCGACCGGCCACACUGGGACUGAGACACAGCCCAGACUCCUACGGGAGGCAGCAGUGGGGAAUAUUGCUCAAUGGGCGAAAGCCUGACGCAGCAACGCCGCGUGAGGGAUGACGGCCUUCGGGUUGUAAACCUCUUUCAGCAGGGAAGAAGCGAAAGUGACGGUACCUGCAGAAGAAGCACCGGCUAACUACGUGCCAGCCGCCGCCGUAA
rnacentral:rRNA from 1 species